CGAACCAAGUCUGUAACCUACCCGUGCCAGGCUGCCAACCACCGCCCUUGCACCUUAUCCCCAUCCCCUCGUCCUCGCGCUCAACCCACGGCCCUGGCGCCGUCGCCGCCGUAUUCGCUCUCCACCACGGUCCUGCUACCGUCGCCGCCGUCCUCGCGCUCUCUCUGAGAUCCAGCCGCCAUCCUCGCGCUCCGCCCAUGAUGCAGCAACCGUCGCCGCGCUCUGCCCGGGAUCGAGCCGCCGUCCUCCGCGCUCUGCCUGAGAUCCAUCCGCCGUCCUCGCGCUCAUGGAUCCACCCCCUCCCCUGAUCCCCGUCCUCCAGCCCCCAACUUUGUCUGCCAUCUCCCUCGCGCUUCUCCCCUGCCGCUCCCCGGGCCCCAGCCCUACCAUGAGCUCUCCAUCCGUGCUCCCCGUUCCUACUGCCGCUGAUAGAGAUCCAUCCACGAGCUCUCCAUCCCGCUGCGCCCCUCCCAAAGCCAGCCGUCUGUUGCUGCAGAUAUCCGCACAGACUCGUCUUUUCCAAUAGGAGCGGUUGUACAUGAUGUUGAGCCUACAGGGCAGCAAGUACGUGGUACUACCUGUCAACGAGGACGAGGAGGUGGGCGAGCGGAGGGCGCCGAGGUGGACCCUGAGUCCAGUCAGCGUUUGAGGAGGCACAUUCCAAUUUUAUUCUCCAUCACUUUUGAAUACACUGGAUAUUUAUGAAUAACGGUGUCUUUGUUUGAUAUAAUUUUUUUAUGUGAGCACGGUGAAGUUUUCCUUUUUCAUGAAUAUGGCACUAGCAUUCAAACCUUAGGUUCAACAUAUAAUCUCAUCUUCCUCUGCAUCCACAUACCUUCAACUACUUGAAGCUGGAUAUGGUUUCCAGAGGGGAGUUGCAAGUUCCAAUCACAUUCAAACCUUAGAGGCCGCCUUGGUGCAGUGGCUAGAUAGUUUCAGAAUUCAGACUUUCAAUGUAAUUUUAUGAGAUGUUAAUGUUCAUUCUGGUUGAUGGCAUAAUAUUUGUUCUUUUGACAAGUUCAUUCAUUAUACUAACCAAGUACAUAACUUGCAGACCUUUGGCCUUUACUUUAUGAUUUGAUUUAUGGGAAGUCGAGUUAUCUAUAUUGAACACAUUUUUCCUUUUUUCCAGGAUGGUUGAUACAUGUCUCUACACAUUUUGUCAGAGCAAUUUGCAGUGGAAGAAGUAGCCUCAAACUGAUAAGAAGGCACCUGCUAUUUCACGGUUAUUGUUGUAGAUCAAGGAUGACAAGAAGGCAACUAAUGUACCAGGUGCAGGUAAUCAGCAACAGAUGUGAUGACUUUGAAGUGUUCUGGAGCAUUUGGCUGUCUAUAGUAUUUUGGACCAGCCAACUUAAUUGUAAUCGUGAAUCUUAUGUGUUUUCUAGACCAUUUGGUGCUCAAGUGUUAUGGAGUAGAAAUCUUGUGCUCAUGGAUGUUACUCAAUUAUUUGGACCAUCUAGUGUUUGAACUAUUUUAGACCAGUGAAUUGGGGUCCUUUUAUGUGACUUGUGUUUUCUGGAUGGUUGCCAAGAUGGCCAAGCUUUGCUUUUGUGAA